AUGCAUGCCAGGGCACCGGGAGACCAACAGCCAGCAAGGGCCACAGCUGCCAAAACCAGCUCAGAGCACAGGACCGAAGGCACUCCCACAGAUGGAGGGACAGGAGGACAGCCUCGGUGUCACUGCAGUGCAGUCCAGCUGCACCCAGAGGACGCCCCAGUGUCGCCGCAGAGCCCAGCUGCACCCAGAGGACGCCCCGGUGUCGCUGCAGAGCAGCCCAGCUGCACCCAGAGGAUGCCCCGGUGUCACCGCAGAGCCCAGCUGCACCCAGAGCACGCCCCGGUGUCACUGCAGAGCAGCCCAUCUGCACCCAGAGGACGCCCCGGUGUCGCCGCAGAGCCCAGCUGCACCCAGAGGACACCCCGGUGUCGCUGCAGAGCCCAGCUGCACCCAGAGGACGCCCCGGUGUCACCGCAGAGCCCAUCUGCACCCAGAGCACGCCCCGGUGUCACCGCAGAGCCCAGCUGCACCCAGAGGACGCCCCGGUGUCACCGCAGAGCCCAGCUGCACCCAGAGGACGCCCCGGUGUCACCGCAGAGCCCAGCUGCACCCAGAGGACGCCCCGGUGUCACCGCAGAGCCCAGCUGCACCCAGAGGACGCCCCGGUGUCACCGCAGAGCCACAGCUGCACCCAGAGCACGCCCCGGUGUCACCGCAGAGCCCAGCUGCACCCAGAGCACGCUCUGGUGUCACCGCAGAGCAGCCCAUCUGCACCCAGAGGACGCCCCGGUGUCGCUGCAGAGCAGCCCAUCUGCACCCAGAGCACGCCCCGGUGUCACCGCAGAGCCCAGCUGCACCCAGAAGACGCCCCGGUGUCACCGCAGAGCCCAGCUGCACCCAGAGGACGCCCCGGUGUCACCACAGAGCAGCCUGCCUGCUCCAGUCACAGGAGAAAAAGCACUUGCCCCACACUGCAGCGUCUCCCUCCCCCGCAAGGUGCCCGCCACCAUAGUGCAGGGUGGCCAUGCCCACGCGAGGAGCUGGCCGGGGACAGGUCGGGGAAAGUGCCUGAGUCCCCGCCGGAGGACUCCGACGACAGCUCUGACCCUUGCUUCGCAGCCGCGCACCUCCCGGACGGCUCACGCAUCCCAACAACGCCCCCAUCCACAGAAACCGCGGGGGAUGGCCCAGGGCAGCCCUACAGGGUUCACAGGGCAGCCCGAGAGGGGCCUGCUGGGGCACUCGGGGACAUGA
rnacentral:lncRNA from 1 species